AUAAAGUUUAAUUUUAACUUAAAGUUUUAUUUAAUUUUUUAUUUACAUGUAAAUUUUUGUAGGUUUUUAAUAUUUAUUUAAAUAAUUAAUAUUGAUUUUUUUAUUCGCAGUAUAUAAUUUUAUUAAUUUAAGUAAUUAAGAAAUAUAAAUAAGUUUAAAUAUUGACAAAAUUUGUGCCAGCAGUUGCGGUUAUACAAAAAAUAUAAAUAAAUUUUAUUGAUUGAUAAUAAAAGGUUUAAUUUUAAUAAAAAUUAAAUUUAUAAGGUGAAAUUUUAAAAUUUAAAAUAGUUAUUAUUUGGGUUCUUGAUUUUAUUAAAUUUUUUUAUUAAACUAGGAUUAGAUACCCUAUUAUUAAAAAUGUAAAAAUUUUUCAUCAAAGUAGUAUUAGUUAUGUUCUUGAAAUUUAAAAAUUUUGGCGGUAUUUUAGUCUAUUCAGAGGAACCUGUUCUAUAAUUGAUAGUCCACGAAUAAUUUUACUUAAUUUGUUAAUUUGUAUAUCGUCGUUAUUAAAUAUUUUAAAAGAAUUAAAUAUUUAAUAUUUUUUAUUAAAAAAUAUAUCAGAUCAAGGUGCAGUUUAUAAUUAAGAAGAAAUGGGUUACAAUAAAUUUAUUUAUAUGGAUUUAAAAAUGAAAAUUUUGAUGAAGGUGGAUUUGAAAGUAAUAAAAUUAAUAUAAGUAUUAUGAUUUUAGCUCUAAAAUGUGUACAUAUCGCCCGUCACUCUUAUUAUAAAAUAAGAUAAGUCGUAACAAAGUAGAUGUACUGGAAAGUGUAUCUAGAAUGU
rnacentral:ncRNA from 1 species